rnacentral:lncRNA from 1 species
UGUGAAGUAGCAUGGCCUACUCAGUUCCUCCCAGUGGGGAUUAGUCCCUCAUCCGUGUCUGUUUCAGAGUUGCCUGACACCUGCCUGCUGCCCUUGAAUCUAUUCCUGGAGAGGAAGAGUCAGCCUGGUCCAAAUAGCAUGACUUCUGCUGCCCGAAGGAGAGGAGUAUAUUUCAGGAAAGAUUUUCUUCUCUGUGAUUUUUCACUUUCCCCUUUCCCUUGGUUCACAUUCUAUGACUUCCAUGGGACAGAAGAGCUGGCUUCUUAAAGUCUGUGGAAGUCUUAAUACAAGGUGAAUCCCAGGACCACAAACAGUUUGGACUUCAAACAGUGAGAAAAUUGGCACUGAAUGAUUCGGCACACAAAGCAGAAAACUUUCAUUUCCUGCAGGCAGGAGGAAUUGACUGUUAUAUUAAGACUUCUAAAGGAUCCCUGCCCUGGAGUAAUUUCAGUGCUGUCAGACAAUGUUGACAUCUAGAUUAACCUCUGUGCACUAAAUUUGACUGCACAGCUCAUUGAGAUGCAUGUGGCGUGUCCCUGUAAAUCCCAUCUGAAACCCUUGGUGGCCCACCCGAAACAACUCCCUCUCCUGUCUCCACCUACUGAUCUCACGGUCCAUGAACUUUUAGCCUACUGGAGCAAAGGCACUGUGACUGGGGUCCAACACCCAGAAUGGGAGCUUUGACCUUCCUGUGAGCAUGAGAGAGUCUUGAGCCAAAUCUGCUGCUCGGUCAGAGUGACAAUGUUUAUCACUGUAUUGACACCCUGCCCCCAAGGAGGAGACUGCAAAUCAAAGCAUGAAAGCCACUCCACUGAGGACAAACUGUUUUACAGCAGAUGUCAAAGUGAAAUGGUCUUCAAAGGAGCUAAGACUCAGCGUAGGUUCAUCUGUAUACCUCCAGUCUUCCAGGGUUUCAAGAGUACAGCAGAUGCAGCAAGGUCAUGACUGUAGAUAAGGUGGGUGGGGUCUGAUGGCUAAAAGAGCUGCUCCUCUAUACACGUGUUUUCUCUAGUCCUUCCAAGAAAGGUAACCCUGACAUCUACUUCCCUGGCUGGGAUAAAGGAUACAGCAACUCUCUAAUGCUUUGGCCCUUUAAUACAGUUCCUCAUGUUGUGGCAUAAAAUUAUUUCAUUGCUACUUCAUAACUCAUUUUGCCACCAUUACCAAUCAUACUAGAAACAUGCAGGAUGGUCUUAGGUGACCCCUGUCAAAAGGUUAUUCAACCCCCAGGGGAGUUGCAGCCCACAGGUUGAGAACAGCUGCUCUAAGCACUAGUUCAUGGACGUUCUUUGUAGGAUGAGAUGCCAUACUGAGAUCGCAUAGGCAGAUGAAAUCUCUUAGUCAAGAUGGCAAGCAUCAAAAAAAAAAGUACAUACGUGCAUCUCAUGCAUCAAAAGAGACCCCCAGCUUGGCUCCAGCUACCCCCACACUCUUAAAAGCUACUCAAUAUAAUCCCAGAUAUUAAAAAAAAAAACCUCAGGAUUUUUGAAUGAUCUGCCCAAGUCUGAAGAACAAAUUCCCUUGCAUAGUUCUCGAAACUGAUUCUCUUUCAAAUUAUUUUUCCAUCUUUGCUUGUUUGGUGUAAGUGGUAGGAAUCUCUUUGUAUAUUCUUAGAUAUUUCUUUAAGAGAAUUGAAAGUUUUUAGCCAAGGACAUUGUGUUUAUUGACUGAGAAAAUAGAUUUCUGGGCUGAGUAUUACAGCAGUUACACAGGGGCAAUUUUGAUGACUUUAUUUAAAAGCAAUUAUCAGAGUUGCAUUCUUUCUAGAUCCUCAUGCUGAUAUAGAACAAAUCAUAUUUGCCCUUUUGUUAUUUAUUAUGUUUAUUUACUUUUGCAUAUAAGUAAGCACAUAUGUGUAUGCCAAUUCCUGGGUAAUUCUAUUGCCUACAGACUACAGUGCCCCAUUUGUAGAGCUUUCAUGGGUCUAAGUGUGUCUGUGCAAAUGAGUGCCCCACACAUUUGGUUUCCUCACUGUUCCUCAUUAUUUGUAUUAGGAGCACAGAGCCUAUGACUUUCUGCACUGUAAGUUAUUUACAAAGUUGAGGAUCCUUUGAUGGAGGAAAAAAAACCCACGUUUCUCACAAUUUUUAUAUAUAAAGGCAGGACUCUUCCCCAUUGGUUUUCAAAGUACAAAACCAGACUAAGUCCUGAUUCUCUUUUUCUGUAAUUAAGGGGAAAGGGGUAGCAGAUUCAUCAUAAAUAUUUGUUUGAAGAUAAAUGUGAACUAGUGUGAGGAGAUUUUUGACCCAACCAUGGAUAUAUAAUUCCAGUGUUCUGAUUGAACAUGAAGUCCUUGGGACACAAGACUCUAGCUGGAUUAGAAACUAGGAGGUUGGGAUAUAGGGAACUUGGCUGGAUAAAAGAAAGUCAUCAGCACUUAACUGAGAGUAGGCAAACAAGUUGUAGGUUGUGCUCUUUAUCAAACAGCAGUGAUGGGAAAGGCCACUCAGUUUUAAUCCAUUGCUCAGAUUAGUUACCAAGAAAGUAUAUCAUAUCAAGUACUGCCUGAGUGCACAUUUGCAGAAUUCCUACUCCAAAGGGCCAGGGUUGUUACAAUAUGUUCAGUUUUUCACUUCCAGCUCUCUCUGACAAAUCCUUUCUGCCCCCAGCUCUCUAUCCUACCUCUUCUAGGCCAGGCUCUAUUCUCUAAAAAGCAUAGGAAAGUCUGAGUGGCUCCUCUUUUUAGCCUGAGCCUGUUGUGGUUUAGUCUGGGUUUCUGCAGAAAGAAACAAAACAAACUGCUCUCCCAGCUGCCCAUCAGUCUCUUUCCAUCUCCUUAGACCAAAUGAUUAGCACCUCAUUAGCGCCCCAUCAGUUUGUUUUUGCACAGGAGACUCUGGUACAACAGGCCUAUUAUAAGGCCCCCAGCCUGUCCUUUUGAAGUUGUCUCAUCCUUUUGACUUGGUUAUGAAAGGCAAGCCUUCCUUUAAAUGUGUUUUCUUUCACAUUUCUUUCUGGUUUCCUAGCUUCUGAAUAUCCCGGAAAAUGAUAAAGUACAGUUUUGCCUUUUGUUUUUGUUUUUUGUUUUUUUUUUUCUAGUCUACUCUGAACAGGGGCAUGUCUUUUCAUGUGGACCAAGAGCUCUCUGUGUUAUCCAAGGUUUACCCACUCUUGGGACAGUUAAAAGAGUAAAUCAGAGUUGGUAGAAGUGGUCUUUACUUCAAUGGUACUAGAAAGGUUUGCAUCUUAAGACUUAUUGAACAUGCUAUGGAAUGGUGAUGGAGAAGGCAGUUAACUUUAAGAGCCAGGAGGUCAAACCUCCUUUUCUACAAAUCAUUUCAUAGCAACAGCAAUUUGAUUCUGCCAGCAAUGGUACUUACAGACCCAAAUAGUCACAUCCACUAGUCAAAUUAAACUACCUCACACAUCCACUUAUU